UACGUAGGCAGCAAGCGUUGUUCGGAAUUACUGGGCGUAAAGAGUGUGUAGGUGGUGUCGUAAGUUUGGUGUGAAAUCUCCCGGCUUAACUGGGAGGGUGCGCCGAAGACUGCGAUGCUGGAGUAUGGGAGAGGAAAGCGGAAUUCCUGGUGUAGCGGUGAAAUGCGUAGAUAUCAGGAGGAACACCUGCGGUGUAGACGGCUUUCUGGACCAUUACUGACACUGAGACACGCAAGCGUGGGUAGCAAACAGG
rnacentral:rRNA from 1 species